CCCCUACUUCGCAGUUGCAAAGGGACUCGCGUUUUCCCCAAGGGGCAGGCAGUGCAUUCAGGGCCCUGGGAGGCCUGGCCCACUGCGGAGGGGAACUCGCUCGCGCGCACGCGGCCCGACGUCCCUAGGAGAUCUCCGUGUGAUCACCGUGCGUGGCAGCUCCUGGGCGGAAACACCUCCCACCUCCACGUGAAAGUGGGCUCACCCGCAGGCGGAAAGCGACAAGGCUGGGGGACUACUCGUGCUGUAGCAGAGGCUGGGGGAACAUUCUUAGCAGGAAGAGAGCUCACUUCACUGUCUUCUUGGAGAGACAACAAAUACAUCCAUGUAACAGUGAUGUCUUCAGUUGCCAAAGGGAGCAUUUCAAUUGACCAGCAGCUAAUACCUGAUGAUGUCCCGUGGCCAACCAACAGAAGUUCUUCUAGGAUACAUCUUUCCUUGUUGGCUUACGAGCAAGAAACUGAUGCCCUCAGCCCAACAACCUUCUCGGAGCUGAAUUCUGCCAAUGAGUACAUGAGCUUGGAAGAAGAUCCCUCCCCAGUGAAGCCACCACAGGUGAGACUCCAGCCCUGGCCUAUACCUUGAUCACAGACUUGGAGAGGACCCACUUGAGCCAUACUCAGACUCCCGUAAGAAAAUGGUAAGAUAAUCUACAACCAUACCACCCUGAACGUGCCUGAUCUUGUCUGAAAAUUGCAAGAUAGGCUGGGUGUGGUGGCUCAUGCCUGUAAUCCCAGCACUUUGGGAGGCUGAGGUGGGCGGAUCACCUGAGGUCAGGAGUUCAAGACCAGCCUGGCCAACAUGAUGAAACCUUGGUUUCUACAAAAAUUAGCUGAGUGUGGCCAGGCACGGUGGCUCACGCCCAUAAUCCCGGCACUUUGGGAGGCCAAGGUGGGUGGAUCACGAGGUCAAGAGAUCGAGACCAUCCUGGUCAGCAAGGUGAAACCCCGUCUCUACUAAAAAAACAAAAAUUAGCUGGGCAUGGUGGCGUGCCCCUGUAGUCCCAGCUACUCGGGAGGCAGGAGAAUUGCUUGAACCCAGGAGGCAGAGGUUGCUGCGAGCCAAGAUUGUGCCAUUGCACUCCAGCCUGGGUAACGAGCGAAACUCCGUCUCAAAAAAAAAAAAAAAUUAGCUGGGCGUGAUGGCAGGUGCCUAUAAUCCCAGCUACUUGGGAGCCUGAGGUGGGAGAACUACUUGAACCCAGGAAGCAGAGGUUGCAGUGAACCAAGAUGGCACCAUUGCAUUCCAGCCUGGGUGACAGACAGACUCCAUCUCAAAAAAAAAAAAAAAAAAAGGAAAAGGAAAAAAAAGAAAAUUGUGAGAUAAUAAAUAUAUGUUUUUGUUUGUUUCAUUUUUGUAGAGACGGGGUCUUGCUAUGUUGCCCAGUCUGGCUUUGAAUUCCUGAGCUCAAGGGUUCCUCCUGCUUCAGCCUCCUAAGUCUCUGAGACUACAGGCCUGUGCCACACUGCACCAAGCUAAAUGUGUAAUUUAACCCUCUACGUUUGUGGUGACAUUCUUAUGCAGCAACAAAGAACCAAUAUAGAACCUAUUAGGUACAAAGUCCUCUGUAGGGCUGUUAGGGAAUACCAAAAAGUGUAAGGAACCCAGAACUUCAGGAGCUUCCCAGCAGUCAAGGUGAAAAAGGAACGACAGUGUAGUUAAACUAUUUGAAAAAAGAAAAUUAAUGUUUCCAAAGAUUGAACCCAGCCAGGCACAGUGGCUCAUGCCUGUAAUCCCAACACCUUGGGAGGCCCAUGUAGGAAGACUGCUUGAGGCCAGGAGUUUGACACCAGCUUGGGCAACAUAGUGAGACCCCUAUCUCUACAAAAAUAAAAAAUAAAGAGGGAAACCGGCUCCUGAUUCUAAGAGGAAUUUAUCGUGUGGUCAAUAUCUAUGUACAAUCUGUGAACAGAGAGCACUGACUCUGUACGGGAUGGACCGCCUGCAAUUCCAGUCCUCCUCAUCCUGCCUCCUUUGGGUCUGACCUCCUACCACCUCACACCCUUCUGCUCGACGCCCUCCUCCUGGACUGCUCAUCUUCGUUCUUGGCCCAUCACCU
rnacentral:lncRNA from 1 species